rnacentral:rRNA from 1 species
AAGUCCCGUAACGAGCGCAACCCCUAUCCCUAGUUGCUAGCAGUUCGGCUGAGAACUCUAGGGAGACUGCCGGUGACAAACCGGAGGAAGGUGGGGAUGACGUCAGGUCAUCAUGGCCCUUACGGCCAGGGCUACACACGUGCUACAAUGGCGCGCACAGAGGGCUGCAAACCCGCGAGGGGGAGCCAAUCUCACAAAACGCGUCGUAGUCCGGAUCGCAGUCUGCAACUCGACUGCGUGAAGUCGGAAUCGCUAGUAAUCGUGAAUCAGAAUGUCACGGUGAAUACGUUCCCGGGCCUU